rnacentral:rRNA from 1 species
AUUGAACGCUGGCGGCAGGCUUAACACAUGCAAGUCGAGCGGAGCGAGGGUGCUUGCACCUUAGCUUAGCGGCGGACGGGUGAGUAAUGCUUAGGAAUCUGCCUAUUAGUGGGGGACAACAUUCCGAAAGGAAUGCUAAUACCGCAUACGCCCUACGGGGGAAAGCAGGGGAUCUUCGGACCUUGCGCUAAUAGAUGAGCCUAAGUCGGAUUAGCGAGUUGGUGGGGUAAAGGCCUACCAAGGCGACGAUCUGUAGCGGGUCUGAGAGGAUGAUCCGCGACACUGGGACUGGGACACGGCCCGGACUCCUACGGGAGGCAGCAGUGGGGAAUAUUGGACAAUGGGCGGAAGCCUGAUCCAGCCAUGCCGCGCGUGUGAAGAAGGCCUUUUGGUUGUAAAGCACUUUAAGCGAGGAGGAGGCUACUUAGAUUAAUACUCUGGGAUAGUGGACGUUACUCGCAGAAUAAGCACCGGCUAACUCUGUGCCAGCCGCCGCGGUAA